rnacentral:lncRNA from 1 species
AUAUAUAACGAUUUUUAUUUUUUUCCAUUAUAGCUGGUUUACAGUGUUCUGUCAGUUUUCUUCUGUAUAGCAAGGUGAUCCAAUGUCUGUUUUUUAAAUGGCCUAUGAAAUAAGAAUGGUACUUUACAACAUAGGUAAUGGUUGGGAAAAAAAAAAAGGAAUGAAAAUAGUUCAUGGCAUGUGAAAAUUGUAUGAAUUUCAAAAUUCAGUAUCAAUAAAAAAGCUUUAUUGGACCACAAACAUACUUAUUCAUCUACAUAUUGCCUAGGGCUGCUUUUGUGUUACAAUGACAGAUGUGAUUAAUUGUGACAGAGACCCUACUGUCUAUGUUUUCUAAUUCUAGAGAAUUAGAACUAUGAUAGUUCUAAUCUGCAAUGACGAAAAUCUGCUUGUGUUAAAAAAGCAUCAAAUCACCAACUAACUUAAUCAGGAAAGAGAAAACUGCAAUUAAAAAUAAAGAAACAAAGCAGUACAUGGAGAAUUAACCAUAUAGAAACUGAGAAAAUUAAAGAAUCUUAAGAAGACUAACCUGAAAAUCCUGGAUGAAAUAGAUUUUUUUAAAGGAGCGUAUGAUUUACACUAAAUGACAUCAAGAAGUAAGAAUCUAAACACAACUAUUUCCAUAGAAGCAACAGAUACAUUGAUCAAAGGUUAUCCUCAGCAAAGCUUCAGGUUUAGACAUUGCCAAAAGGAAUUUAAAAGCAUAUUAAAAGAAUACUUAUUUUAGCAGAGGAAUUUAUUCUAGAAGUACAAAGAUGGUUCAUUAUUAGGAAACAAGUUAAUACAUAGUUUAUAAUGUUAGAGAAAAAUUAUAAUCAUUUUCAUAUAUGAUGAAAGGUCACUUGCCAAAAUAGCCAUUCUUCACAAACACAUUCUGUUAAAUAAGGAUAGAUGGAAAACUUAUAAAUACAGUAAACAUAUAUUUAUCACAAUCCAGAAGUUAGCAUCAUGCUCAUUGGAGGUAGGCUAGAGACAUUCCUAUUAAAAUCAAGAUCAAGACAAGAAAGGAGGCCAUUACCUCUGUUACUAUCCCACAAAGUACUGAUUACUAGUAAACAUAGACAAGACAGAAGAAAAUGAAUAUUUUAAACUGUAACUAUGUGGAAAUGAUAUGAUGGUACAUUUGAAAAUCCAAGAUAAUAAACUAAAACACAACAAAGAGUGAGAGAAUUCAAGGAAGUAAUAGGAUAUAAACAUUUAUAAGUAGAAAGCGAUAAAUUUAUUAUGUACAAAAAGCAGUCAGAACACAUAAUGGGAAAAACGUUUAAAAUAGCAAAAACAAGCAACACAGUAUCUCUAGAAAUAAACUUUUAAAAAUGUACAAACCCACAAGAAGAAAAAUGAAAACACAUGUGAAAGCAAAGAUGGACUUUUCAGUAAGUGCUGAAACAGUUGAAUCUAUAUUUCAUACCAAACAUUAGGAACAAUUCCAAAUGGGAUUUUUUUUAACAUUAAAGAAGUGAAGUCUUAAAAACAAUAGGGAAAUGUAGGAAAAUUCUUUUAUAAAUCUGAAGUGGGGACAGACUUUUAACCAACAACUCAAAAUCCAAAUUGUAAAAGACACAUAGGAAAACAAAAGAAAAUUCUGCAACCAAAAGCAACAAAAUGAACACUAUGAAUAAAGAGAUAAAUAUAAAUUGAGGGAAAAGAACUGCAAUUCAUAUCAUAGGCACAGAGAUUUUUUUCUUCUUCUGAUCAGGAGACAGCAAAAAUCCUCCUAAGCAACAAUUCCCCCUACCCCCAUACCACUGGUAAUGGCACACUUUGCUCUGAGUUUUGGCCACACCUUGUUCUGAUGUUUUAAGGAGAUGACAGGCUCCUUUUUAAGCUAUUUCAUUUCCCCUCACUCAGGCUCAAAGCAGCUACAUACUGGUAGUAGUCUCUGCUUUUAAGCAAAGUUGGAAUCAAUCCCUUUGGAUAGAAAGUCGAGUCAAAUAUUAUUUUAAGGCAGUAGUGGGUGAAUAUCCCAGACUCUGGGAGAGCCUGCAGAGAAUGAGUUUAGAUUCCACCUUUAGAAACUUUCCUACAUUGCUAUAAGAUUAAGAUCCACUUAUCAGGGAAAGAGAAAUCAUAAUAUUAUCUACCUCUUGAGUGCUUAUAAGAGUUAAAACACAUCUAUCAGGUCUAGAAGAGUGUGAGACACUCAGAAAACACUCCAUAAGUUAUUAUUCUUUUUUGUUAUGCAACUCUUCUGUGUAUGCCCUGCUGCUUUUUUUUUUUAAUAGUUAUUUCCCCAACACAAUUUUUUUCCCUACUGUACAGCAUGGUGACCCACUUACACAUACUUGUACACAUACUAUUUUCGCACAUUAUCAUGCUCCAUCAUAAGUGACUAGACAUAGUUCCCUGCUGCUUUUAAUCUUAAGGUGACAGAUUGUCUCUGAGUUUUGAAUUAGUAUAGUGUAGUGACUAAACAUGAGCCUUAGAAUCAGCUAACUAGAUAUCACACCCCAGCACCACAAAUCACUUACAUCUUCUCUGUCUCAAUUUCCUCACCCCAAUCAGCUUAAUGCCAAGCUCACUGGGACGUUGUCAGAAUAAUGAGAUGCUUCUCACAUGGUGCCAGGCAAAUAAAUAGUAGGUGCUGAUUAAAUAAGCGCUAUUAAGUGUUUCUUCUAAUACGUCAUCAUGACCUACCUCAGAAACAUCCAGUACACAGUAAAUAAGGAGAGAAAAAAUUGCAACCCAAAGACAAAUUCGCAGAAUUAGUGCAUAAUAUUUACAUUAAAGGAAGGUUGAAGUUAAUUUUUUGGAAAACUUCCAUCUCAUCCAUCACCAUAUUCCUUUUCAUGGGUUAAAGAUCAGAAAUGGUAUCAUUUUCUAACUUCAGAGGUUCAUUACACCUUCUCCAAACUCUGUGAAACAGCAAUUGUGUUUUAGGUUUUAGAUCUGACUCUUAAAGGAAUACUCUCUUUUUUCUAAAUAGUACAAGGUCACAUUUACAAAAGCUUUACAAUUCACAGGAGAGAAUUUUUUUUGGGGGGGGGGUGCUGCCGCUGUCCCAGAUUUUACUGAUGAAAGCUUUGCUUUGUUUCCUUGCCCCAAUACCAUUGCAUGUUCAUUGGGUAAAUUUUAUUUUACUGUAAUAAUAAUAAUUCAGAUUAAGUUCAAAAGCGUAACCAUCUUGCUGGCUGCUACUCUUGCUCUUUCCAAACCUUUUGGUAAAAGGUUUUUAUACAAUUUGCCAAAAGGCAGAUAUUCUUAAGCUGACUCCCUGCUGUUUGCAUUCAGUACCUCAGAUAAAUGUACAGUCCACGAUGACAACUUCUUUGAAUGUUAUUAAGUGUAAUUCUGCUACCCUAGCCACAUCUCUAGAGUCCUGGCUAUCUAAUUAUGGACUUCUGGGAUAUGAGGUGCUACUUUUUUUCAGUUUCAAUCUGUUCCAAGUCCAUAGGGAGACCACAGUGAUGAAAUGUUAUCUCUAAUGAACAUAAAAUUAAAUAAUCUACUGUACAAAUGCAAGCCUCAUAUUAUUAAAUGUAUCAUAGUGGAUAGACCAUCUGUCAUGAUAUAAAUUGCUUUGAUCAAAAAAAAUAUAUGUCUGGUAAUUUAUAACAAGUGUCAUACCAUGGUAAAAAAUUUGUAUCCCAAUGAUAGAGAUGUAUAGUCAUUAAGAAUGUGUAUAUAUACAUUCAUCACUAGAAAUAUAUGUAUAUCUGGGUUUCGAUUUCACCAGUUCUAAAAUAUGGAUAAUGAUAUCUCAUAGUGUAGGUAUUACAUGCUGUCUUCAUAAGUAUAGGUAUAAAAGUUAAGAAAGUCAGUUAAAAGUUUCAUUUCAUGUGUCUCAGUCAGAAUGUAGGAAAAUUUUAAAAAGAGUUUUUAGAGCUUGGGUAUAUACCCUUUUAAAGGCGUAUAUCACAGCACCUUUAAAAUUCUACUUUUUGUCUUAGGGCAAAAAAUUAUGAUCAGAACGGCUUACAGAACUAACUGGAUAAAUUAAGCAUUGUUAACUGUAGUGACACCAGGCACCUUGGAGUGCAAGGCAGCUUAGUGUUAUCUUUCAACCAAAUGCUCCUUAUAUAAGUAAGUUAAAACUUGGGUUUCUUGAUUGUAAUCCUUGUCCUCAUUGAUUCUUUUUUCAGGAACUCUUUUUGAGGGAUUUCAUGUCAGAUAAAAAGGGCAUCAUGGGGACAUGAAAAGCCAUGUAUUCUUGGGUAUAUAGGUUUUCCCCUUAUUUAAAUCAUAUGACAUGGUAACAUUGAGUAGAACUGGUUGUAGUACCACACAUAAGCACUCAAAAUGGAUUAUUUUUAUUCUGUAGUAUGUUCAACUUGGAUUCUAUUAAAGCUACCAUUUUUCUACAGCUGCCAAUUCUAUAGCAGAUGUUGCACAUUCCUUGAUAGCAAAGACUGUGACUUAAUUCAUCUUUGCUUUUAUUUUAGUGCUUGUGUAACAAUUUCAAUAUGCAAGAUUUCUAAUAAAUGCUUAAUGAAUAUAUUAAUGGCUUCUUUAGAAAGCCCUUUCUGAUAACUCAUAUAAUGAAAGGAAUAUACUAGUUGGUGUUAUAACUUGCAUGCAGAUUUGUGUUGUUUAAUAAAGCAUGUGAUUCAUAAAAUAAUUGGAGAUUGCUAUUUUUCCAUGUGGCUUUGAUGUGGAUAAUCCCCACAGGGAAUAGAUGGAAAGGAGAUAAAUUAAUUCAUGUUUCUUUCUAGGUCAAUUUUUUUCUGAAGGAAUUCACUGGUCAUUGCUUAAGUAUCAAAUACAAAUGUUAUAGGACCCCUUGCUCCCAGUAGUUUUCCUAUUUGAUCUUAAUUUCUCAAGUGAUAAAUAUUCAUUAGCGUUGUACCCUAAAAUUCUAUCUUUAUUUACUAGCACCACUGUAGUUUUAUGGAAGACAAAAUUCACACUCCAUUUUUUUCAAAACUGUUAAGAAAAACUUUAAAGCUAUUCAUCACUUUUCUUUGAAAUCAACUAAAAAGAAAUACCAAAGAGAUGGCACCAUUUUGAAUAAGAAUUGCACUCAAGAAAGAGCAGUUCUAUCUGUCCGUCCAUCUGUCUGUCUGUCUGUCUGUCUGUCUGUCUGUCUAUCUAUCUAUCUACCUACCUAUCUAUCAUCUAUUCCAUUGAGAUAGGUGUGUUUAGUUGACGAGAGCUUGAGAUCCUUACGGUUAAGCCCAAGGACUAAUACAUAAGGGAUUGGUUCCAUGACUGUGAGCCCCAAUACUAAUCAUGGGGAUCAGGCGGGUACAGACUUGUUCUGGUCAACAAAGUGCUGGAUGAUGAGUCAGUGCACAUCAUCAGUACCAGGAAAACAACUCAGAAUGUGAACUUUACUUUUGGUGGAUCUACAAUUUAUAUUUUAUUACAUAUUUCUCUACCUGCCACUAUUCUGGGCAUUAUAGAGGUAUGAAGAAUAUAUCAAAUUGACCUAUGUACACAGGUAACACCCUCACUCUCCUGUGAGCUCCGUGUCCUAAUGUCUGUUUUUCCUUAUCCAGAGCUUAUUUCUACAUGAGGGGCUUCACUCCUGCUUCUCAUUCAGGUUCAAAUAUUCUCUUCCUUCCACACUCUCCAUUCCCUUUCUUCUCAUCACCACGCCAAUUUCUAAUCAACGAUCACCUCUUGCUUUGAAUGUCAUUUCCUCACAUUUUUUUCCUGAUAUCAACCCUCCCACCCUGCCGAUUUUAUAGACUCAAAACUUGAUACAUUUCCUUAAUAAAUCUUAUCAUUAUUAUGGUGGAAGAAACUGACAGAUUGGUUAUAAACUGUGUCUUCUCCAUAGAAUGUUAGCUCCAUGAGGGCAAAGAAAAUGUUUUCUUAUUCUUCCACGUAUUUCCAGCAUAUAAUAG